CUCGAGUGGCGAACGGGUGAGUAACACGUGGGUGAUCUGCCCUGCUCUUCGGGAUAAGCUUGGGAAACUGGGUCUAAUACCGGAUAGGAGCCAUCUUUAGUGUGGUGGUUGGAAAGUUUUUUCGGUGUAGGAUGGGCUCGCGGCCUAUCAGCUUGUUGGUGGGGUAAUGGCCUACCAAGGCGGCGACGGGUAGCCGGCCUGAGAGGGUGUACGGCCACAUUGGGACUGAGAUACGGCCCAGACUCCUACGGGAGGCAGCAGUGGGGAAUAUUGCACAAUGGGCGCAAGCCUGAUGCAGCGACGCCGCGUGGGGGAUGAAGGCCUUCGGGUUGUAAACUCCUUUCGCUAGGGACGAAGCUUUGUGUGACGGUACCUAGAUAAGAAGCACCGGCUAACUACGUGCCAGCAGCCGCGGUAAUACGUAGGGUGCGAGCGUUGUCCGGAAUUACUGGGCGUAAAGAGCUCGUAGGUGGUUUGUCGCGUCGUCUGUGAAAUUCUGGGGCUUAACUCCGGGCGUGCAGGCGAUACGGGCAUAACUUGAGUGCUGUAGGGGUAACUGGAAUUCCUGGUGUAGCGGUGAAAUGCGCAGAUAUCAGGAGGAACACCGAUGGCGAAGGCAG
rnacentral:rRNA from 1 species